UACUCUUCUUUGUAACCAAAUACUUUUUCUUCAUUUCAGAUAUACAGGAGCUGCAAUUCGCUUUUCUUUGUAAUGCAAAUAAGUUGCUAGAGCAGGAGUGUGAGUGGUAGUGAGAGUGACUCUAGGAUGGUUGAGCGGAUUUGAAUGAGUGUGUACAAGUAAAUGGGUUGUAUGUGAGGGGUUUCUCAGUUUGUCUCACUGCUAAUUGAGGAAGCCAUUUAGGUGGUCAUAGAGGAAAGACUUCUAGCAUGUCCAUUCCUUAUCAGCCAUGUUACUGAAUUUAUUUUGAAGCCAAGCACUACCAAAGCUGAAUUGUGGCUCCUCCCUUUGGGGACUAGGACAGAGUAUAAAGCCAACUGAAGGGUUAGACAGCGUGUGACAGAACUUCCCCCUCCUGUGUGAUGAAUUAACUUCGUGAAUCUCGCAAUACUGAGUGAGAGAUGAUGGCGUCAAGCCUCUGUGUGGUGGGGAACUGUUAUGGAAUCUUUGUGCUGUACCCAUUUGCAACUCGCUAAUCUUCAAAAGGAAAGUAAGAACAGUACCAUCUGGCCAUUACAUGUCCGCACUACUUGCUUUGCCUAAAGCAAGGAACAUUUACUUCAAAAUCUCCGGACCUUGAACUCUAGCCAGCUUCCAUAGAAGUCACACACAAUUUCAUUUAAACGAUUUGAUUUAUGCAAGACUGGUUACUGAACGUAAUUUCCUGGUUAUAUAUUUGUAAUAUUUAAUUAUAUUCUGAUUGACAUCCAAUUUUAAGUAACUAUGAUUUCAUUAAUUGCAUCAUGAGUACUCUGAUAAUAAACGGAGUCUAAACUUAAACCUCCUCGACUCUGUACUCUGUUUGUGUCCAAGCAUUUUCCUGACAAUAUC